GGAUGCGCGGGAGCCAAUGGGCAAGCUCGGGGGAGAGGGGCUGGCAGCCGCGGCGGGCCGGGCGCGCACUCUCGGGAUGGAGGGCGAGCGCCUGGCAUCUCCGGCGCGCUCCUCCGGCCUCCCGGCUGGGGGCGCCGGUGGGGAAAGCCCGGGGGUCGACGCCCCCCUCCUGGGCAGCAGCGGGUCCUCCACCCUGCUCCAGGCCGAGGUGCUGGAUCUGGACGAGGACGAGGACGACCUGGAGGUGUUCAGUAAGGAUGCCUCGUUGAUGGACAUGAAUUCCUUCAGCCCUAUGAUGCCAACGUCCCCUCUAUCAAUGAUUAACCAAAUCAAGUUUGAAGAUGAGCCAGAUUUGAAAGAUCUUUUCAUUACAGUUGAUGAACCUGAAAGCCAUGUUACCACAAUUGAAACUUUCAUUACUUACAGGAUUAUUACUAAGACAUCUCGUGGGGAAUUUGACUCCAGUGAAUUUGAAGUUAGGAGACGUUAUCAAGAUUUCCUUUGGUUGAAAGGAAAACUUGAAGAAGCACACCCCACUCUGAUUAUUCCACCAUUGCCUGAGAAGUUUAUCGUGAAAGGUAUGGUGGAACGCUUUAAUGAUGACUUCAUUGAAACACGAAGGAAGGCGCUACAUAAGUUCCUGAACCGAAUUGCUGAUCACCCGACUCUAACAUUUAAUGAAGACUUCAAAGUAUUUCUUACUGCACAAGCUUGGGAGCUCUCUUCUCACAAGAAACAAGGGCCUGGAUUACUCAGCAGGAUGGGGCAGACAGUCAGAGCUGUUGCACUGUCAAUGAGAGGAGUAAAAAGCCGCCCAGAAGAGUUCAUGGAAAUGAAUAACUUUAUUGAAGUUUUUAGCCAGAAAAUAAAUUUGAUAGACAAAAUAUCUCAGAGAAUUUACAAGGAAGAAAGGGAAUAUUCUGAUGAAAUGAAAGAAUAUGGCCCAAUUCAUAUUCUGUGGUCAGCGUCAGAAGAAGAUCUGGUUGAUACUCUAAAAGGGAUUGCCAGCUGCAUUGACAAAUGCUCUAAGGCCACUGAAAAACGGAUGUCUGGACUCUCAGAGGCCCUGCUUCCUGUAGUACAUGAGUAUGUGCUUUAUAGUGAAAUGUUAAUGGGUGUUAUGAAAAGGAGAGACCAAAUACAAGCAGAACUGGAUUCCAAAGUGGAAGCUUUGACCUAUAAAAAGGCAGAUACUGAUCUGCUUACAGAAGAGAUUGGAAAACUUGAAGAUAAAGUUGAAUGCGCUAAUAAUGCCCUGAAAGCAGACUGGGAAAGAUGGAGACAUAAUAUGCAAAAUGAUAUCAAGUCAGCAUUUACAGAUAUGGCUGAGGAGAAUAUCCAGUAUUAUGAACAGAUAAGAAACCGAGGCCUGGAGAAAUCAAACAGCUUAUAUGAUCUCACGUGACCAUCAGUGUGAUUCACAUCAAAGGAUGGAAUUUGUAGUACCCUCACCUCCCAAAACCUUGAAUGGCAGCCAUAUAGUUCAUUAACUGUGCUACAUUUCCUGUACAGUCGUUUUCUCCUAUCCACUGUUACAAGGAGGCACCUGCAAAGCUUAGAGACUAGUGGGCAGGUAAAUUGAAAAUUAAAAUAGGAUAUUAGAAGUGUACUGCUCAUGCCAGUUAUAGCCACACAGAGAAGGAAUACUUCUAAAUGAAAAGGUACCUGAUCCAAGGUCUGAGAAAUUAUUCAGAGUCAACCCGGUUGGAGGAGAACUGAGGGUAGAUAUGUCAGGGCAGAGAGAACGGCAUGAGAGAAGCCAAUGGCCCAAGUACACCAGUAAGCAUGGUGCAUUCAGAGACUCAGGAACUCAUUUCUACCAGAGGCUGGGAUGUGAAUGGGCACUGAAUAGGGAUGAGCUGAGAGGUAGGCAAUGCCCAGAUCAUUCAGAGCCCUAUAAAAUAUAUUCAUGGUUUUGACUUUAUUAUGAAAACAAUGGGAUUCAUCAAAGCUUUUAAGCAGGGGGAUUUAAGAAUCAGACACAUUUUAGAAAGAUCGUUUUGGCUUCAAUGUGGAAAGAUCAGAUUCAGUUGGAAAAAGGAUUAAUUAAGAAUCAGAAAUCAAUCAGUGACUAUCACCAUAAACCCAAUGGGAAUGUAUAGUAGUCUGUCAGAGGGUAAUAUCAGAAAUAUUAGAAAGCUCAGAAGAUGGAUUUUCAAGAUUUUUUCUACCUGCUCCAUCUAGAACUUGUCUCCACUGGCAUUCUGACUCCACAAAGGAGCCACAUCCAGCUAAGCAUUUCCAACCCACCAAUGUUACAAAUUACCAAACUUCCAGUUUGGGUUUAAAUAAGGCAUCUAGAGAGAUGUGCAUUUAUCUUUCUUUCAGCUAAAAUUUGAACUUAAUUGGGAGAAUCACAUUUUGUACUUCAUUUUAUUUUUAUUUAGAAUUCUAUGUCUUCAAUAGAUACUUUAAGAAAACUAGGUAGAGCAUAACAUAUAAAAUUUUUAAAAAAUUGAAAUCAUCAUUAUAACAAGCACAUCUACUGUCUCUCAUAUUAUCUAUUUAGUAAUUCCCUGGUCUUUCAAAACUGCUUUGGAGUAUAUUUACAAUUGAAUGUCUUUACUUACCAGCAGGAAGAAAAAUAACAAAAAUAUGGAUUAAGUGGAUGAAGGGGCCCCCCAACAGUGAUUUUGAUUGGAGGAAGAUUCCCAUGUGAUUUUCUCUGUAUGCUAUUAAUCUGGCACGAAAAAUAUUCACAAUAAUUAGGUUCAUUCUUUGAAGAUGGAUUAAAAGUAUUCACAUUUGAAAGUAAGUGAAGCACAUUUAUCACAGGAAACACUGUAAGUAGUACAGUGUCUUUUUGAUAUGAAUACAGAAAGAGAACAAAGGUUUGUUCUGAUCCUUAGACUUUAUGGUAUAAGAUGCCAAUAUCUAAAGAGAAGAUAUUACUGACUCCACCUUUACUACAAAUACGGAGCUUUCUUACCCCUAGUUGGAGUAUGAGUGUGGAUACAUAUGUAGGAAGAUAUUUGUUAAAAUUGCAAAUAUAUGUGCCAUGUUAUCAAAGUAGCCUCUUUGCAGAUGAGAUAUACCUGCAGAUGAGGUACAUUCACCAUCUGCCCCAUAUGGAGACACGUUGUGCUGGCAUGGUCAGAGCUGAUCACUCUGGCAAAGAAAUGAACAUCUCAGUGGGAGCUGAGCACCACCACAGAGUUGAAAUUCUUCUUAAAUUAAGAUUAUCCAACCCCCCCUGAGGAAGAUAAUCCAUUUACAUAUUUACACCCCGAGCUCUUAAUUUUCUAGACAGACCUUAACAAGAAGGACUAUACUCUGAACAAGAAAACAGGGAAAUUAAAUGUUUAUUGCAUUCCUUUCUUUUCUCCUCUUAAAUUAUAUAAUAAGUAACAGAACUAUGUGGUUCAUUGGCUUCCAUUUCCUCAGUGGUUCACUUUGAAUAUUUAAGUUUAUGUGGGUAAGGAUCUGUAUAGUUUCAGUCUUUGUUAUACUCUUACCGCAUACCAAAAAAGGUGUUUUCACUCAGGGAGUGAAUAUAUGAAUGAAUGGUUUACAUUGAUCCCAUUUUUUGUCUCCUAGACAGCUCUAUAGCUAAUUUUAUGAGGCAUCUAUUCUAAAUAGGACUAGGUUUAUAAAAUAAACAUUAUGUUUCAUUGUCAACAGAGUACAAGAAAUUAUUUUACUUAUGAAAUAAUAAAGUCAGUUAAAAAACAGUACAUAUUUGCAUAGAUACCUUUCUUAUUUUUUAAUUCUGUGAGUAUAGUUGACAUAGAAUGUUACAUUCAUUUCAGGUGUACAACAUAGUGAUUCAUCAUAUCUGUACUUUAUGCUGUGCUCCCCCAUUUUAUUUUUAUUUUAUUUUUAUUUUUUAUUUAAGUUCCAGUUAGUUAACAUGCAUUUAGUUAAUGCAUGCAGUUAGUUAAUAUUAGGUUCAGGUGCACAACAUAGUGAUUCAACACUCCCAUACAUCACCUGAUGCUCAUCACAACAAGUGCAUGGAUACAUUUUUAAUAAUGUUAAAUCAUUCAAAGUGACUCUUGAUGGUUUAAGGAAAUAUGUUCAAGGAAAGUGUUAUUAUUAGUUAUUGUUGUUGCUGCUGCUGCUGCUGUUGCUACUGAUUCAUACUUUAGCUAGUGACAAAAUAAUAAUCCUAAUAAUCAUCACCAUAAUUUAAAACAUGUCCAUCGGAGUUUUAAAGAUUAUAAAGAGAUCUCCUUUGAUCUUCACAGAGUCUGAGCUUGCAUUGCAAUCUUUACUUUUAGGAGCCUGCAAGGACAGGAAUGUGGCAUUUGUAGUUACAGGUACUGAUUGAGGGAAAGUCCCAAUUCAGCACAGCCAACUCAGCAUUUUAAAUUGUUUGCCUAAAACUUCAUCAUGCCAACAACCCCGCAUCAGUGAUUAUGUAGCUAAUUAGUAUUGACUUUGUACCUUUCCUUAAGUAUUAGAAAAGGAAACAAACAUCUUAGCUAUCAACAUAACUAGUCUCUUUUGAAAAGUUAGACUCAUGAAAAUAAGCAUGGAGAUUAAGUGUAUAGGAUAUAAUGUUAAGUGGAAUGUAUGCUAUGUAAAAAAUAUAGAUGCAAAUAGAUAAAUAUUAGAAGCUAAUUAGCAAAAACUAGAAUAGAUAGAUUUCAGGGUUAUAAAUAGCUAUUUUUCCUUUUACAAAAUGACAUACAAAACUGGUGUAGCAUUAUUGUUUUUCUUUUUUAAAUGGUGAGAUAAUAUAGUCUGGUGCCAUUAUAAUACAAAAAGAUUAUCUUGGAAAUGUGAACACACAGUUUGGGAUUACUUUACAAGAAUGGAUAUGACAUCGUUGGAAUCGCUCCAGUAUUCUGUGUUCCUUGUGUAGGCAUUCGGUCAUUCAGUUCAUACUACAUUUAUCGUCUUGUUAAAAAAAAAAUUCUUCAUUCAUUCAUGUUAUGACAAACUAUUAAAUCCAGGCAAGUCUAAUUUUUAACAGUUAUAAACAAAAAUGAGGUAUAGAUUGUAGAUAUUCAGACAUGCUACAAGACUGAAAAGGACUAAAAGAGAAAUAAUUAUUAAUACAAAGGAAAAAAGAAAUAGUCACAAUCAGAUCUAUUAAUCUAAGUAAAUACUGAAUGAUGCUUUGAAGUUAUUUAAAAAAUAUUCUCUACAUCUUAUUUUUCAUUUUAGAAACCUACAUUUUAAAAUGUUACCACUCACUGUAUACUUAUUAAUUUGUGACAUGUAUAUAAAUAGUAAUGUUGUGUUGUUAUAAUUCUUGAAAUCAUGCUGUGUGGUUCAGUGCAUACCUAUUGGUUAUUUGCAACAGAGAGGAAAACUAAUAAUAGAUAUAGGACUUAUUCCAUGAGUGGAAUAAAACUAUUUUUUCUUCAAAUUAUAUUUUUCUAAAGCAAUAUGAAACAGUUAUAAAUGAGAAAGAAAUGAAAGGUUACACACAUAGUGGCCUUGGCAUUUUCUCUGCAGCCCUGUCAUCCUCUAGAACACAAAAUUGCCCUUAACUUUCAUUCUCAAGAAAAUUUGCAAAUCACCUUUAUACCAAAAAUGAGAAAUGUGAAAUAAUUCCUUGCAUCCACACCACCAAAAGAACAUCAUAUGUUAAAAUUUCUAUGUCAGUGAUCAAAUGAGGGAUAUUGUAACUUAGUGCUUACACAAAGAAUAGAGAGACAAGACAACUGAGUUUGAUGUAUGACUGCUUAACCUGGAGAAACUAGGUCCUGCAAAAAGAAGAGUCCUUUUGUCAGAAAUACACACACAAUCAGAAGAAAAUGUUGAUAUUAUUAAAUACACGAGGGUGCCAAAUCUGCUCAUGUGUACUAAGCAUCAAAAUAACAUUCUGAGCAUAAAAGAUUUAGAAAGAAAAAGAACCAUGGCUCUGGAAUGAGCAGUCAAUAAUAUGACAACUGUAAAAGGCUUACUUUGGAAUUCAGAGAUCAAAAAGGAGCUGUAGUCUUUGCAGCUCCAUUAGGAAUUAGACCCAAACCACGUUUUUGUGUUUUUUUUUUUAUGACAGUAUUCAACUGUGCACUUUAGAUCUUCCCAACAGAAAGUCUAAUGAGCCCUGUGGAGGCCAUACUACCUGCCAAGAAAAUAAUCCAUUCUCUAAAAGCCCCAGCAACAAUAUUCCUCAAUGUUCAGAAAAAGUGCUGAAAUGUUGUCAUUCAAAAGACUCUACAAUUCUCUCUGGCAAUCCUAGAGAAUCUAAUGAGUGAAAAGCCAAAGGAUAUACAAAAGAAUCAUCAUUUCCAGAUUUAGAAAGAAAAAAAAAAAAGCAAGCACUAUAAGUCAGAAAAUUAACUACUGGCUGUCAAAAAUGACCUUCCUGGAGUGUCAAACAAUGCCUGUCAUGACUUCUCAAAUUACCUCAGCAGGAAGGCCCAGUAACUGAGGAGAGGCCACAGUACACUGAUUCACUGCCCUCUUAAUGUGCAACCUGUUCUUAGCAUUCUUAUUUCCAUUUCAUUUUGGAAAUACAUUUUAAGACUAAAUAAUUCUCAAGCUAGUGAGUGAGCAAAUCUGGUAAUAAGGGCAUCAUAAAGGAGAAAGUUGUCUUAAAAAAUUUUUUUCUACUCUUCUCUCCCAUCUUUUUAUACCACACAUUGGCUUUUUUUUUCCUUCUUUUCUGAUCAAACAUCAAAAUUAUUGUUGAUAGGAUGCCCUCUGAGGUAUAUAGAAAUCAACAUUUCUGACCCUCAGGUAAGUUCUUCGCAGAGGAUUGGUAGAAAAACGAGAAAAGGCAUGCAACCAUGAAUAAGGCACCAUAUCUGCCCUCAAAGAGUUUGUAUUAUAGUUAUUAUUCAGACAAGUAUGUUUCAGUUACAAUACACAUUAUUAACUACUGUUAAUAAGACAACAACAGACAAUUAUAUAGUAUCUGAAGUGUAUACCAAAUUUAGUCUUGGAGAAUUGGGGAAUCUGUCUGUAGAAAAUUAUGAUUCAACUGAAACCUGAAAAAUAUGAAGGAGUUACCCUCUGAAUGUGCUACAUUUUGAUUAUACAAGAAAGAAUUUAGAAGACCAAAGUUGUGAUUUUAGCUAGCAAGUCACUUAGGCUAUAUAUAUCUUGAUUGUCUCUGUUCUGAGACUAGUUUUGCAAAUCUGCAUUAUUGUGAAGAUGAGAAUGUGUCAAACCAAGUAGUUAAAAAUGGGUACACAAUGACAAAAUGUUGCUCUGUGCUUUAUUAAUUAAAAAAGCUUGCACGGAGUAGUAGGCAAUCUUUAAGAUGGCUCCUAAAGAUUCCCACCUCCUGGUAUUCACUUCCUCGUGUAAUCCUCUUCUCCUUAAGUAUGGCCUGGACUUAUUGAUUCUGUUGUAAAGAUAGAAUAUGGCAGAAGUUAUGAGCUAUCAUUUCUGAAAUUAAGUGAUAAAAUGAUUGGGCCUUUUAUAUUGGAAGUCAGUUCUCACUCCCAUUCUUCCUUGGAUUUAUGACCCUAGGGGAAGCGAGCUGCCAUGUGAUGAGGCAGCCAAGGUCAACAAUAACCAUAGAAGUGAGUUUGAAAAUGGGUGACACUCCUGCCCCCACCCAGUUGAAACUUCAGAUGAGACCACAGCUCUGUCCAAAAGCCACCUCAUUAGAGACCAUGAGCCAGAUUUAAUCUGCUAAAGUGUGCCUAUAUUCCUGACAGGCUUGUCAAACACCUUGGGAUUUCCACUGAACCUACAGAAAGGUCACAGAUUUAGAAGAAAAGAACAGACCAGAACUAAGGGAUUCAUCAUAAGAUUAAGGCAAGACUCAAAUAACUUCUCCCGAGCAAUGUAUAAAGCAACCUGAUGCUCAGACUCUUUCUAAACAAAUUUACUGGGAGGUCCAGUGCAUAGACUCAGGUCAAUAUUCAACUUGUCUACUGAGCAAUUAACAUGGAGUAGGCAUUGCAAUAGGCAGAGGACACUGGGGUCCUAAUGGAAUCCAGAGCCACAGGCAGAAGGAGUCUAGUUCCCUGAAUCACCGCAUAAAGGAAAGAUACACCUGCCAAACAGGAACAGCCACCUUGGACUUUUGCUUGAAACCUGAGAAGUCCAAGAUCAAGGUGCUGCAGAUUGGUUUGAAGAAAGUCAUCUUCCUGGUUUGCAGCCUCACAGUACAUAAAGGUGUUGAGAUCUGCAGCAAAGACUCAGUUUCACUUGAACUCAAUGUUUUCCAGCACAAUGGCAUGAAACUCCAGAACCAUCUAGAGGGUGUAUGUGGACUGUUUCAUGAGCUCAGCCAGGAACCUACACUGUCAAAAUGGAUCGGUCAUUUAAAAAAGUUAAAGAUUACUUCCAGUCACUACCUUUUCCACUUGAUGAGAAGAGGGAGAAGAGACAGAGACAAGAAUCUUCAAGCCACGAACCAGAGGCUGUGCUUACCACUUCUGCUUACAUCCCAUUGUUCUAAACUUAGCUGCACGGUCACGUCUGACUGCAAUGGUAGCUGGGAAAUACAGACUAUGGCUGGGCAGUGGUGGAUGUAGCUAAAAUUGGAUUGGGGAAUUCAGUUACUAAAAGAAAGAAGGGGAGGAGGUCUUCUUCGGACUAUUAGCAUUUGCCACUAUAAUGACACCCAGCUUUAAAAUUGUUGUAAGGUUUGACAAUAAAUUUCAUAUAUUAAAAAAAAAAACUUUAUCAAAAAAAAUAAAAAAAUAAAAUUGUUGUAAGGAAUGAAGUUGUAUUUGCAGAGCAUAGGAGUAUAUUUGUUGAAUUUACAUAAGCAAUCUGCAUAGUACCUGACACAUGAUGAAUGAUAAUUAAACUGUAAUUAUUAUUAUUAUUACUAUUAUUUUUAUUAUAAUGAUGAUCCAGAACCUCUAUCCUCACUGUGAUGCUUGAAUUCCCUCCAUAGUACGAUGGACAAGUGAUUAUUUAACUGUUCUUGGAUCCUUAUAAUAAAAGGAAAUUUCGUUGCUCUUAAAGAAGCCAUUCCAUUUUUAGAAAGUUUUUCCUUCUUUCUUGACAUUAUUUGUCUUCUUACACUUUCUUUUCUUUCAACCUAAUUGUGACCUCUGAGGCCCCAGCAGAACAAAUCACAUCCCUCUGCCAUACAGUAGUCCUUCAGAUAUAUAUGGAAAGUUACUGUGUCUUCCAUGAGUUCUCUCUUUCUCUAAUCAUGUUCUACUCCUUCCACAGGCUUUCAUAAUCCAUGACUUUGAGUCCACGCACCACCAUCUUGGGCACAUUCAUUUGCUCAUUUAACAAAUAUUUGAGUACCGACUACUCUAUUUUAUGAUGCCCACCUUAAAACUAUGUCACCAAGGGCAGUAUUCAGUAUUCCAAGUUAGUCUGAGCACAGCAAACUAUUAAUGCUCUCAUUCAGGAUAUUAUUUUCCCUAAAUGGAACGUAAGAUCAUAUAACUUGGCAGCAAUAACAUGCGGUUGACACAUGCUGAAUGGUAACCUACAAUACCCUCUGAGCCUGUUUUUGUUUGUGCAGCUAACCUAGAUGUACCCUACCCUACAUGAACUUCUUUUUAAAUCCAAAUACAAAACAUGUGCUUUAUUUCUAGUUGUUAAUUGCAUCUAGUCUCUCUUUUAUUCUUUCAACUGAUGUAUUAAUUAUCCCUCGCUGAUUGACACCAUCUAAGCUCCUGAUUAGCAUGUAAUUGAUCUCUUCAUCUAAUGUAUUGAUCAAAAUGUGGAGAUGGACAGGGAUGAGGUUACUUUUAGUAACCCUCGGAGCGAUCUUUUAACCAAUUACCAAUGUACAUAACUGCAUCCUCAUUUAAGAAAUAUUACCCUCUCUAGUUCACAAGAUUAGUCUCAAGAAAAAGUCUCAAGAAAAAUUUUUGUUAACUAUUUGGCUUCUGUGUUCAUUGUUCAUGUCUAAUGAAGCCUUGACUUGCCAUUCAAAGAGCAGCCUGGUCUAGCUCCAUCCUUCCCAAUCAUUCCUUCAGUACCUCCCUGAUUAGGAAGGGCCUGAUUGGUGUUUUCCUGUCAUUAGACCUUUCUAUAAUGAGACCAGACCUUUCUAUAAUGAGAUUCAACAAAAUUCAUUGAGCACUGUUAUGUCCUAGGCAUUAUACUAAGCAGUUUCUCACAUAAAUAGAGCCUGGAAAGAAUGAAAUAUAUU